CAGAGUGAUGGAAACCUUGAACUGAUCCAGAUUGGCCAGAAAAGGAUGUUGUGAAUGGCCGUCCGGAUGAGUCUGGAA
rfam:Triticum aestivum genome assembly, contig: Triticum_aestivum_CS42_TGACv1_scaffold_471851_6AL